UUGGUUGGCAAAACAAAGCAUUUUCUGUCUAUUAAAUAAAUAAUUAAUUAUAUAAUAGACUGAAUCAGCCAUUAUUAAAGAAGUUGUGAAUGAGAGUGGGUUUUGGGGUGCUGGCCACCUCGAUAAAGCUACUGCCUGCUGCCAGAGGCCUGGGCAAAAGCCAAAGAUUUAUC